rnacentral:rRNA from 1 species
UACGGAGGAUGCGAGCGUUAUCCGGAUUUAUUGGGUUUAAAGGGUGCGUAGGCGGCAUUAUAAGUUAGUGGUAAAAUAUUGGGGCUUCACCUCACUACGCCAUUAAUACUGUAGAGCUAGAGAACAGACGAGGUAGGCGGAAUAAGUUAAGUAGCGGUGAAAUGCAUAGAUAUAACUUAGAACACCGAUAGCGAAGGCAGCAUGCCGGCUCCACACUGACGCUGAGGCACGAAAGCGUGGGUAUCGAACAGG